AUUAUCUAUUCAUCAGCCUCCCAUUUUUGCCAAUUACAUUCUUCUAAAGUGAAGUACCAGCAGGUAUUUUGCACAUUUACAAUUAAUGAUAAAAAAAUCUGGCGUACUUUAAAUCUAUUACGCUGCUAUGUAAUUUAUCUUAAAGAUGCAGAAUUGCUAAUGUAAAUUAAUGUUUCUGUUGAACUAAGACAUGGAGGGGGGUAUUAAAACCAGUCUAGCGUUUCUUUCCUUCAUUCCUCGACUUUGCUUUCAAUUUUCUUUCCACUUUAUACACAAAGAAUCCGUUACUCCACUGCAUUAAUAUAUGCUAAAAAUCGCUGUCUAAACGGAGCUGGGAACAUACUCGCUCCUUUCCAGUAAUUGGCGAGCUGAACUCUGUUUGCCUUCCCCGCUCUCUUAUAAAACUGACUGUUUGCAGCUAGCCGAUAUUUUCAACACAAUAGCAAAUCGACGGAACAGUGUUAAAUAGAUGUGACAAAAAUAGCGUUGGGUAUGCAAAGAUAAUAGUUUAAUACGUAUCUUUGCUUAAAGACGUGUUUGCCUUUGCGCACACCGUGCUGUACGUACUUUAUGUGCAGAGAAGCUCGCUUUACACGUAAAUGUAAAUCUGUUCUUCAUGCUUCACGCGUCUGUGUAUAUAGACAUCUAUAUACACACGUGCAUAUGACUGCGGAGACAAAGUGAGAGAGAGAUCUGUACGGAAGACACGUUAGUGUAACUGAAUUCUUCUGACGGAUUUUGCAGGGAGGUGAAAUCCUCUCAGGUCUUAUAUGUUUGGGAAAAUGUUUCUUUCCCGCAGAUAGCCGUGUAGACAUAGGCGCAGGACUCCGUCCAGGGGCAAAGAAACACGGAUCCGCUGAGUUGAGCUUGCUCCAGAGGAGGCAGAUGGAUUUGCCUUCAUCCUCCCUUGUGUGCUUCGUGAAUCGCUAUUAUUAUAUCUUUUAGAUCCCCUCGCCCUUUUUCCGUGCCACCCUUUUCCCCUCAACCCGGCGGUAAAGCUAUUCUUGCAGAUCCUUUUUUUGAAAUAAGCGAGGUUGAGAAAGUGCCCUAAAUAUGACGGGUGUUUGAUGCGCUGAACUCAGCUGAGUUCUUGGUGAGUGCUGAAAAGAAAAAAGAAACUUCUUCUCCUAGGACGAGCCGUGUUCUGCAUCUGCGUAUUUACACUUCCCGGGAUUGUGAAAUGAAUCUGAAUUGGAAAAACUUCAGCUCCUUUUUCUUUUUGCCUUUUCCAGACAUCCUGACACAAUCACAGGGCUGCUUUGAAAACUGCAUCAAGUAAUUCUGCAGUUGGGGGGGGGGGGGAUUAUAUCCGUUUGAAAAACAGUCUCACCGUCAUAUUCGCGCAGAGAGCGAAUAACCGUCGAAAACGCGCGAUAGAUUUCCCUCGACCCUCUUUACUGCCGGUGAAAAAAUCACUAGCCUAAAAUCCCUUCCUAAAGGGGGUCCCAUUGCUCUCGGGCUCAGCGGAGGAGGCUGCAGCUGCAGUGGAGAGCUCGGAGAGAGCAACGUCCUCUGACAAGUCUGAUUUCGCCCAGGAAAGCUGGUUAUCUCGGCCGCAGCAACCUGGAGGGCCAUCCCUGCUCGGCCCAGCGGUGCGCCUUGAGCCCGGCAGAGCAGCGGCUGUGUCCUGCGCUCGCCCUGCCGCCCGGAGCCCUUCUCGUCUUGUGUGCGUGUAUAUAUAUACACGUAUAUAUGUGCGUCAAUAUAUAUGUGUGAGCGUGUACAUACAUACAGAGAGAGAAACCGCAAGUAGUAAGGCCUGCGGAGCAUCAGCUCUCUCGGCUUUGCCACGGAGCAAAUAGGCCAGCAAAAAAUAAGGGGCUUGGGACGGGAUUUCCCACUAUUGUCCCCUUCCCCCUGAACGCCCAUACCGCUCCCCCGCUCGCCGCCGUGGCUGUUUCUCGAGCGCAGCUCCCGCGCCCAGCCUGCGCGCAGCCCCCGCCGCCGCGGCUCCCGGCGCCGGGCCGUGCCGUGCCCUGCCGCCCCGGGCUGCGGCGGGAGCAGCUCCUGAAGCUCCGCUCUUGAACUUUUCCUACCCAGCGACUUGACGGGCUGCUCUCGCUGUCCUGUUGGCGUCUACAAGGAGAAAAUCUGGCAGGGGCUGCCUUCCCAGCAGUCCCCGAUCUGCUCCAAACAUGCUUAGAGGCAGCCUCUCUCGGAGGGAGGGGUGCGCUACAUUCGCAGUCAAAUUACAUGGCUGGCCUCUAAAGGCACUAGCUUCGGAUUUCCAAACUAAUACUCAUCUUUUAAAAGCCGAGCCAAAAAGAAAAUGCAAGGAAGGCCUCAGAUGCGGGAGACCUCGGGGAGGAAAAGAAGUCAAUCUCGGAGGUUUUGCGAAGAAAGGCUGUUAUUUCCUAGAGGAUAGACAUUUAAGUUGUUAAAUAUUAGUUUUUAAUUACAUAUUGUUCUUUUAUAAAAUAAUAUUUAUACUUAAGUCCGGGCAGGUAUUCAAUUGAAUUUUCAAGCCAUCAGCUAACUAUUCUUUACCCAACUGAUGGAAAACAGCCCACUGUGCAAGCGCCGCGGUAUGUUGCUUCAGCAGACGGCGCUUGAGUGUUCACGAUUGCACUUUGUGCCCGGACAAACGCCGCUGGGCUGUGCGGGGCCCCGGACUCGCCGCCCCGGGAGCCCAGGCGGGGCGCACCGCGGCCGGCCCGGCUGCGGAGGGGACCCCGGGUCAGCCCCGCUCGGAGCCCGGCCCGUCUGCACCGGCGGCGCGGGAGCCCUGUCGGUGAAACUGAACCGCGAGGUGCAGGAGGAAGCGGCGAAGGCUCUCCCCGGCGCAGCCUGACACAGCCACACAGCGAGGAAGAUGAAUAACAAGAGCACUACUACUAAUAAAUAAAACGUUCGGGUUUGGAUGUAGCCGCCAGUUCCGCGGUGAAUUACGAGCUGUCCCACGAGGUGCUCGAACCCAAGUCAUCCCGUCCCCCCGCCCCGGCACUCGGCGCCCGGAACCUGGUGGCGAGAUCGCUGCAGACACAACGAGCUCUUGCGGGGCUUUGUGGGCACCCGGGGCGGCCGAGGUUUCCUGCAGUGAGUCCGCUGCAGAAUACUGAGCUGCUGAUGCAUCUCCUCAGAGAAACUGUGCGCGUGUGUGCGUGUGCGUGUGCGUGUGCGUGUGCGCGUGUGCGUGUGCGUGUGCGUGUGCCGAGCUCGGAGCUCAGUCCCGGCUAGGGCACCGCGCUGCGGGGCUGCGGUGUGCGUGCCCGAGCCGGGCGCUGCUGCCCACGCGAAGGGGAGGCCCCCGCGCUGCGCCGCGAGGUGCCCGAGCCGGGCAGGCCUCUCCGCAGCCGGGCGGCCGCUGCCCCGCGAGCAGCGCCGGGGGCUCCGCGCCCCGCGCGAGGCGCCGAUGCCGGCGCGCUCCCCGGCGCCCCCCCGCGCCCCCCCGCGCCCCCCCCGCGCCCUCGGCCCCGCGCCUCAGACGGGAGUGCCGCCGCGAGGGCGCUCGAGGGCAGACUCCCCCCGCCGCCGCCUUCUCUGCCCGCCGAGGUGGCCAUUUUGCAAAGCUGAGCCGAGGCCUCCCGCGGCCGCCCGCGCCUCCCCCGCACCGCCGCAGGGGCGACGCGGCCCCGCGCCGCCGGCUCCGGCCCCGGCCCCGGCCCGCCCGCGGCGGCCCUCCGCCACCUCUCCGCUUUCCUCGGCGGCGCGACUUGACCCCCCGGCUUCCGCCGCCCCGCGAAGAGCUGCCAGGGACGGGCCACGGUCGCCGUCCCCGGGCAGGCCCGGAAGGGAAGAGGCGGCCCGGCUGCCUGGCAGCGCUUUGCCUCUGCCCCGCGGCCGCCGGCAGCGCCCCGAGGUACCGCGAAGGACGCAGCGCCGGUGCCAGCACUGACCCCGGGCAGGACAGGCAGGCAUGGCAGGACAGGCAGGCAUGGCAGGACAGGCACACAUGGCAGGACAGGCAGGCAUGGCAGGACAGGCACACAUGGCAGGACAGGCACACAUGGCCAGACAGGCACACAUGGCAGGACAGGCACACAUGGCAGGACAGGCAGGCAUGGCAGGACAGGCACACACGGCCGGACAGGCACACAUGGCAGGACAGGCACGCAUGGCAGGACAGGCACACACGGCCGGACAGGCACACAUGGCAGGACAGGCACACAUGGCAGGACAGGCAGGCAUGGCAGGACAGGCACACAUGGCAGGACAGGCACGCAUGGCAGGACAGGCAGGCAUGGCAGGACAGGCACGCAUGGCAGGACAGGCACACAUGGCAGGACAGGCACACAUGGCAGGACAGGCAGGCAUGGCAGGACAGGCACGCAUGGCAGGACAGGCACACAUGGCAGGACAGGCACACAUGGCAGGACAGGCACACAUGGCAGGACAGGCAGGCAUGGCAGGACAGGCACACACGGCCGGACAGGCACACAUGGCAGGACAGGCACACAUGGCAGGACAGGCAGGCAUGGCAGGACAGGCACACAUGGCAGGACAGGCACACAUGGCAGGACAGGCAGGCAUGGCAGGACAGGCACGCAUGGCAGGACAGGCACACAUGGCAGGACAGGCAGGCAUGGCAGGACAGGCAGGCAUGGCAGGACAGGCACACAUGGCAGGACAGGCAGGCAUGGCAGGACAGGCACACAUGGCAGGACAGGCACACAUGGCAGGACAGGCACACAUGGCAGGACAGGCACGCAUGGCAGGACAGGCACACAUGGCAGAACAGGCGCACAUGGCAGAACAGGCACACAUGGCAGGACAGGCAGGCAUGGCAGGACAGGCACACAUGGCAGGACAGGCACACAUGGCAGGACAGGCACACAUGGCAGAACAGGCACGCAUGGCAGGACAGGCGCACAUGGCAGGACAGGCACACAUGGCAGGACAGGCACGCAUGGCAGGACAGGCGCACAUGGCAGGACAGGCAUGCAUGGCAGGACAGGCACACAUGGCAGAACAGGCGCACAUGGCAGAACAGGCAGGCAUGGCAGGACAGGCGCACAUGGCAGGACAGGCAGGCAUGGCAGGACAGGCAGGCAUGGCAGGACAGGCACACAUGGCAGGACAGGCAGGCAUGGCAGGACAGGCAGGCAUGGCAGGACAGGCACACAUGGCAGGACAGGCAGGCAUGGCAGGACAGGCAGGCAUGGCAGGACAGGCACACAUGGCAGGACAGGCAGGCAUGGCAGGACAGCCAUGCAUGGCAGGACAGGUGUACAUGGCAGGACAGGCACGCAUGGCAGGACAGGCACACAUGGCCAGACAGGCAGGCAUGGCAGGACAGGCACACAUGGCAGGACAGGCGCACAUGGCAGGACAGGCAGGCAUGGCAGGACAGGCGCACAUGGUCAGACAGGCACACAUGGCAGGACAGGCAGGCAUGGCAGGACAGGCAGGCAUGGCAGGACAGGCAUGCAUGGCAGGACAGGCGCACAUGGCAGGACAGGCACACGUGCUUUACAACUCAUGACCCGGCGGGGCAGGCACACAGGCACUUUGCGCUGGAGCCACCUGGCUUGGAAAUGAAUUUUGUGGGUUUGGAGGGGGUGAGACACUUGCUUGGGGGUGUAAAUAUUUCUGCUCUCCAUAAACUGGCAGAGUGGACCAAAAUGAGCAUAUGUGGUUCAGCAUCUGUUUAGGUACACGCAUCUCAAAGAAGAAUAUUGGCUUUUCACCUCCAGGUACUAAAUGGAAAAUAAAUAGAGGUUGAGGUCCUCUAUUCUGUUUGCAAUUGCCUAUUCUAGGACUGAGGAGAUCUCCAGUUCACUGGUUGUCUUUCAUUUAACUGUUUGGAGACCAGAAAUGGAAAAUAUUUGCAGAGAAGAAAAGAAUAGCUGCAUGGGAUCAUUUGCAAUUCAGUGUGAAAAUAUUCUAACAAACCCAUUUCUAUCCCAGUGCAGUUGAAAAAAUAGCUCAUAGCCAUCAACAGCCCAUUCCGCUCUGCUGGACAGCACGGAAAGUUUUAGGCAACUAAACUCCUAAUCGGAGACAGCAGAAAACAGCAUAAUCAUGUCUUUGACUAUAACUAUGUGGCAGCUUUAAUUGCUAAAAAUGUUAGUAAUGGCUAAAAUAUUACCGUUUUAGUAAAUGUGAAACUUCCUGGAAAUGGUAAACUCUAUAGCCUGUACGAACAGAAACCAAAAAAAGCAUUAACUUCAAGUGGCACACUUGGAAUCGUAGAGGAAUGAACGCUUGGAAGGAAGUCAGGAUAAAAGCAGAACAGUCCAGUGUAGCAUGCAGGGUGUGUGCUCCAGAGCGGCACAUCCAGAAACAACUGUUUUUCAAAUUAAUGCUGACAAAGAAAUUAUCAUCAUUCAUAUUUAAAUACCUUUUCAUUGUUGCUGCUACCAUGGGCAGAACAUUUCAAGUAAAAAUAUGCUUCCUAAAGCACGAGCAGAGCUGGCCUUUCUGGGCUGGCCACCAGAGGCUUGGUUUACUUCUUGUGGAGACGUCUGUUCGUAAUGUUAGGAGCAAAUCGCCGAGCUUGGAGUUCUCUGGCCUGCUUCAGCAUGUGCUUAUCACUAGGUAGGCAGGGAUCCCGCAGCUGGACAGUGCCUGCUUGUGGCUGACCUUGUUUGAGACAGAAGAUGCAAAAAGCCCCUGCAUGGGGGCCGGCCAGAAGACCCUUGGAAAAUACAAUGUUUGGCUUGUCUAGAACUGAUUCUUCCUUGCAUUGGACAUCUGGAAAUGGGAAGGAAGGAAGGAACAAGGGAACAACGAGCACCUGCACAUCCUUUCUGAGUUACAGAGCUGCAUGUGAACAUCCUGGACCCUGGGGGUACUCCUGCUUUCACGAAUCCAAUCACUGUACUAUUUACUGGAGCAAUGUACAGGCCAAUGGAGCUCUGAUAUUCUGGCAUCUAGAAGAUUUCUUGAAGGAGUGUUUGGUUAUGGAUUAUUCAUUUGCUUUGCAAUAACAUUUUGCAGACCCUGUCAAGGGUUAGGGCUCUGUUAUGCCAGGACCCUUGAAAAUACAUAGAACCAGACAACAAUCCCUGGCGCGGGGAUCUAAGUAUGAGGGCAAAGACAGGAGCCUGUCUUCAAUAAAGCAAGAAAAGAAAGUGUCAAAACUACAGUAAGCAGUAAGUGGGAAAAGGUGACAUUGAGGACAAAAGGACACUCCUAACUCCAGUGUACUGUUUAAAGGGUCUCUUCUGUUCUGGCUGAAAUCAGUGGCAAAAUGUCUCUUGAUACUUAGAGUGCAAGAUUAAACCUCAUUGGGCUAUGAUGUCGUUAUCACAUUUAGCUCUCAAACAAUAUUUCUCAUCUUUUUUUAGGGUCUUAGACAAGUGUAUUAUCAUGCAGUGCUAUGUGUUACUUGGUAUACUGGCAGAACCAUCAAGAAUGUCACAAAGCAAAUCACAGGACAAGCUAUAGAAGCAGGACAUGUAGCUGUAGUCGCAGAUAAUAUGUAUAUGUGAUUUAGGAAUUAGAUUACACCACUUACUCUCCCAGUGAGUGCGUCACUAUGGACCAUGCUUCAUUAAUACCUCCUAUAGAAAAUCUCUUUUCUUAUUUAAAGCAAUUAAAUAGUUUACAAGUCAUCCAGAAAUGGCCAUGUGAGCUUGGUGGAGGGUGCUUACUACGAAUUUUCCUCUCUGACAGUGACACUAUGUAACCCAUAUGUGUGGUCAAAAUGAAGGAAGAAAAACGAGGACUCAGAAGGGAUCAACUGCACGAGAUUUAUUUUGGUCUUGUGUUUUUCCCGAUUAAUUCUGACUUAUUCGAUAAACACUGAUUACUCAUCUGUUAUCCUUAGAUUUGAGUGCCUCAGGCAAUGGGUAAGAAACUAUAGCCCCAGUCAUAGCUUCCUACCUCACCUUGAUCAGAACCUAUCAGGAGCUAAUUACGGUCUUGUGGUCCACUGAAAUGAAUGAGAAAGGCAAAGCACUUGCAGAUGCAUAUCCAUGCAAUCCUGGCUUUCCUUAUCGGGCAUUUCAGUGCUGGAGGCACCACCUCCACGAUGAGCUCCACCUUGAGCUCCAAGCACAUUUCUUGCUGUCAGACAUGUUCUGGACAAGAUGCAGAAUGUCAUUGCUUCUGGGUAAACUCUUUCCCUAAGGUUGUCUUUUGGGCAAUUUCUCUGAGCCCUAAACAUGUUCUGAAAUUUAGAUCAGAAACAUUAGCAACUACCAAAUGAAAACAUACAACACACGCAGGCAGCCAAAAUAAAAUAAAUAACCAGUCAGGCCUCUGUUAUGCAAAUACUUUCAGUUAAGUAAAGCAGCAUUACAUUACUUUUCAAAAGUUCAUUAAGUGGUUCCCUGAAGCCGCCUUUUUUACCCACAGCAUUGAGUUUUCAGGUCACUCACCAUUCAGCUUGCCAGAGAUUGUUGGGUGCCAGCUGUAUUUGUAUUGUUUUGCGUUGCUGUUAGUGUUACUGUUGUGCCAGGUAACCAGACUCUGUAGCAAGAGAUAGAAACACAGAACAAAAAGAUGCCCCGGAGCAUCUUCCAGAGCAUCUUCUUUCCUGUGCCAGAGCAAUUCCAAUCUUAAUGUAAUAUACAAAAAAGAGAGGGAGAGGGGAAAAGAAAAAAAAAGAAAAGAAAACAGCAGGUGGAGACAGGGAAGUGAAAAAGAAAUGAUGAGACAAGUACUGAUUGGUGUGAUACCAAGCGGCCUCAACACAACAGCUGCUAUCUGGCAUCAAAUUCUUUGCAUAAGUGAUGUCUGGAUGGGGCCUAUAAGGAACUUGCCAGCACAUUUUACCACAUGAGCCAUACGUUCUAUGUCACAACUGCCAAAAGUGCUUUGGGGUUAUAAGGAUGGUUUGUGGUUGUGGCUUGGCAAAAAGUAUAAGAAGGCAAGAGUGUGUGUCUUUCAACUGUACUGAUAUGCCAAUAAUAUUAAAAAAAAAAAAUUAGCAAGACUCCCAAACACAGCCCUUGUGACAUUAUUGUGAAAAGAAAUGUUUAUUUAAAACAAACGUGUGAAUCACAAAACCUAACCGUCAGCCUCAAGUGAUUUGGAAGAACUGUUCCGAAAGUCUUUCCACUCUCAACCCCCCCCUCCCCAAUCUCUGCAAGCUGCAAUUGCAGGCUGAGUCCCUUAACAUUGAUUAGCAGCCCACACAGUGCUCUGCGAGCCUGACUUUUGAAGGUAAACCCUGAUUCCUUCAAGGAAAUGCCAGAUGCUCACAGUAGGUUGUCACAGGAUCAGGGUAGGAGCUAACUGUCCCAGUUUUUUGCUUGCAUGUAUCUGGCAUGAUACACACCUCACUCUGGAAACCUUGACCUAUAUUACGUUACACUCCUAGUUAAAAUAUAAUUCAUGUCAGUUUGAAAACCGCAUCCUUUAAAACAUAAUGUACUUUAACAUUCUUUCUGCCCCCCCCCCCCGCCUUUAAUUUAGUAAGGCUUUAAGAGCAUCAUGUGCUUGAACUCUGGGCUGCUCCCGGGCAUUUAAAAAAGUAAUUGGAGUAUUUAGGCUUUAAAUGGAUCCUCUUUUCAAUCCAAAUAGUAUCACACAUCAGAGAUGUCAGUAUGAAUGGUUGAAGAGAGAUUAAAAAUUCUCCUAAAAGCCUGGUAAUUAAAUCAUCUAUACAUCCACAUAUUUGGUCUAAGCAACCCUGAGUGCCUGAGGCUCCAUCUCUGCACUGCAGAGCUCCCACCACCUCAGAACAUGUGGUACAAAAACCAGCACCUGAUCCUGCCUGAAAUGUCGGGUGUCAGUCCCGCUAUUGGCUAUUCAUUUGGGAUUGCUCAGUAUUUCUCUCUGAAGAAAUAAUCUUUUCUCAGUGAAGAAUCCUGUGCCCAGACCCAGAAAGUUACUUCAGUGCCUGACUCUAGCCUGCAGUCGAUGGAAUUAGGCACCGAAAUACCUUCAGGAUUCAUGCCUUCAUCUUUUUAUUCCUCCCGUACAAUGUCUAGUGCCUAUGAACCACUGCAAACAGCAAGGGGGUAAAUAAUGGCUGAAUUCUGCUCCAGGUUCAGACCUGAGAGCAGUUGUUAUAAUUAAGCCAUAUUAAUUACUCAUCUUUUUAAAUUCUUUUUAUAACCUCACAAGUUUUUAUAUUCUCUGAAAAGAGGCAUAAAACAACAACAGAGACGAUCCUACCUCACAGAGUGUGAUGUCUGGUACAACCGCAUGUAGCACUCCGGCUGAAGAGGCAUUUGCACUCUGCCCCUCAGGUGUCCCAUCCCCACCACUAGGCAGGUUGUCACCUGAAGGAGGUCACACUAAACGUCAGAUAACUCAGUAUCACAGCUAUAUGCUACACUUACACUCUCUGGAAAGUCUAACCUGUCAAUAAUUACAUAGCAAAGAAGUUACAAAUAAAAUUAACCCUUCAUCUUCCUGCUUACCUCAUUCUAGUCCCAUGUCUUAAAACAGUGCAUGCCUGAUCAGAGAGUAGAAUUUUUGAUUAGAAAUGGUUCAGAUGAUCACUCUUUAAUGUUCUUAACUGCAAGCCAUUUAUUUAUUUAUUUAUUUUUAUCCAGUCUUUACUUACAAAGGAGCAGCUGCAUGGAUGUUCUCACUUCUUGUUAGUCUAACCCAGUUUGGAAAGCCAUGUGCAGGCUCGUUCCUGAUAAAGAGUGAUAGCCCCUUUUCCUGCUCCUUUCCUUCCAAAAUUUAUUAAAAAUAUAAACAGGUCGACAACUGAGAAAGCAAUGCAGGAAUCUUCCUAUAUUAUCAUUGUAGUUGGUAAAAUGGAAAUAGCAACAGCAGCUCAGCAGCUUUCUUAGUAACUGCAUCUUGCUUAUUACAGUAAUUAUUACAAACAUUCAGAAAUAUGUCAUCUUGAAUACAUGCACCCAGCUCUACUAAUAGAUAACAAGAUUCUGAAGUCACAAAAAUUGGAUCUAAUCAGAUCAACUAACCUUUAACAGUCAUUUUCUCUUACCAAAAAACUGAUUGGAUUCCUUUGCUUUGUCAUUUUGCUUGCGUAGUCCCACUUCUGAACAUGUCUGCUGACUUGUCUCUGUAAAAAUGAAAUGUGUUUGUCCUAUGUGUGGAAUUUUACAUUCUACAAGUUCAGUUUCUUUAUGUAUGGGAAGGAGUGUGGUCAUUCACACCAGCCCAAUAAUCAGAGGUAAUUUUCAGUGUAUAUGAUGGCUCCAGCAUGUUCCUCAAGGGCACUUGUUCCACAGCUCUUACCACAAGUCACAAAGCACCCAUGUGCUGUUGAACAGAUUUCACAUUUCAAAUAAAAUAUUGACCCUCACAGUUAGCAUGUGUUAGCAGCUGGGGCUUGGGGCAUACACAUCAUCAGAGGGGAAAAGCACUACAUCUAAGGUGCAGUUUAAAGAUUGGAUUAACUGUCUUCUAACAUUCCCCUCCCUUGUCCUGACCUACUAGCAUCAAAACAGUAAUGCCCAAGGGUUCCAAGAGCAAAAUGGUGGGGCAUGACAAACCGUCUCUCUUUCAAGUGUCUGCAGCUGCCACAUUUGCUAUUUUAUUUGGGCUUUCUUAAAAUGCUCUUCAAUGAACUGAAUUACUUUCGGUUGUAAAUCUCAGAUGGAAAAAUGCAGUAUUAGGCAUAUCUGGCUCUCCAUCCCUCAAGUAAUAUCCAUAUGCACAUUCCUUCCCCUUGCCAAUCUCUGUUUGCUCAUGACUCUGCUGGAUUUUAAGCAAAGGACCUUGCAUAUGGUAGCAGCACUCCACUGGUCACAAUUCAAGGCAGCUGUAGAUUUCUAAAUGAAAUAUAAUAUGGAAAUUCUUAAAUAGAGACUCUUGGACUUGUAAGUACAGAAGUGUUUGAGAUUCACUGAAUAUACACAACAGCUCAUUCUCUGUGCUUCAGAAGCUCACUGGAGGAAGCAGGGCUUGUCAUUUAAUACAGUAAUUAUAAUGAUUCAUUAUUAUGAUUAUUAAUUAUAAUCAUAUAAUCACAGUAAUGAUUAAUAAUUACAGUCAUUACUAUUUAUAUUAGAACAGAUCCUAGAGGCCCCAGUCAGAAUAGUGGGCUACACUGUGCUUCAUAUGGCAAGGGUGGACAAUUAGGGGCACUCUAAUGAUUUGGAGACUGCAGUCAAGGACACAGAUCCUUCAGAUCUGAGCACAGCAUUUGCUUAAUGCAAUGUGCAUAAUCCAGUUUUGUUCAGUGCCAUGCAGGCUGUGAAUGGAGAUGUGCAGUUCUGUCAGGCAUGUGGCAUCAAAAAGCAUAAGAUACCCUGGGGAAUGACAGUGGGGACAAUGACAAGGGAAACAAGGUGCCAGUGACAGCUUAGAGAAGCUACCUGCGGCUGUAAUGUUUGCAAAAAUAGUGGCUACUUCUAUGCAUCUCCUGGUUCUCCACUUUCUGACAAUCCCAUGCUUUGGUGAUAAGAGAAUGUUGUGACAAGCACAGCCUAUCUUCAGAAGGAUUUUCCAGCUCAUCAGGAUGUUCUUGCCCAGCUAAGCUGUGUAGAUGUACUUCUCUACAUGUUUUCUGAUUUAGUGUUGCUUAAGACUGUUUUGACUCGUGAGGUACUUAACCCCUUCUCCCCUCCCUUCGACAACACACACACACGCACGCACACACACAUACACACACACACACACACACACACACACAGUGAUCUGCAUGGUUUGAACUGGGGACUCUGAGAUUUAAAAAUACCAGCCUCAAAUGCUUGAGUAAAUUGGCCGCAUCCAUUAUACCACAUCAUACCAUAACUUCUACCAAGGGACAACUGUUUAUCUUGUCUCCCUAGGAACUGCUUGCACUAAUUGCUGUGUCUGUUAUCUUCUCUCAUCAACCCUCUGCAGCACCCUUUAUUCACCUUUGGGGUUUGUUCCCUGCAGCAGUUUAACACACUGCAUGUUAACGCAAUAGUCUAAUAUUGCGUACCGAGAGGCCUCCUGGAGCCCAGGUGCUACCAAAGUUACUGGGCCUAGUCGUGAGUGUAAAGAUAAGUGUGUGUAAGUCAUCGCAAAUUAGGCCCUUGGUGGUUUUUUCUGCCCUUGGUGGUUUUUUCUGCCUAUAUGUAAACUGCUGCUUUCUUGCCAUCUCCUUGUAUGUGUUUAGCUUUCAAGAUGCAAAAGCUAAGAAUCUCUACAUCCAGUGCUAUAAUUUCUCUGUUCUUCUACAACCUACUCCUAAAUUUCUUGAUUAACUAAUAAAAGAUAAUGGGUUUGUUCUAUUUAGAGACCACAGAACAGAUUCAGCUACUGAGUUGUGUGCCAGUCUAACUUAACUAGCUUAAAUGUUCUUUAUACUAGAUCAAGUGAUACAAAUAAGAAAUGAGGCCUGAUUUUUUUCAAAGUUUAUAAAAUGCAUGACAGUCCAUUACUUAGAAAACUGUGAAAUAUCAAAAACAGUAAUGUUUUAUAUCAGUCUCCCUCCUCCAAAACAGGAAGAAACACAGGUCAUAAUAGGCUUAUCCUGUUAUUAUCAAACCCUGAAAAGAUGUUCACAUAUUGUGCAGGCAUAUCUGCCGCAAACUUCAUCAGAUAACUUAGUGAAAGUGUAUUUGGUAUGUGCUCCAUGACAUGAUGCAGAAAAAGAAUGGCAGCCCUGGAGGUACUUUGGUUAUUUCAGUAACAAAAGAAAAGAUAUUGACUGAUGCUCAGGUACAGAUGUCAUUGUUUCAACAGGACAGUGUUGCUGUUUAACAAACAAUUACUUGGUGCAAUGUGAUUCUUCUAGAGAUUAUGUUGUUGUUAUUAAAAAGUUUUACAUCCCUAGGAAUUCUCACAUAAAAACUUCUAUAAAAAGAAAGUUUGAUGCUGGAAAAUGAAGCUUGGAAAUGACAAAGUUGAAGCUUUCUUAUGAUCCAGUCCCUGAUUACGUGAUCAUAUAUGUAUGUUGAACAGGGAAUGAGGCGGAGUUAGAUGGUCCAAGGGAAUGAGUUAUGGCAAAGCCUUGUCUGAUUCACUACAAAGGUUAGAUGGUAUGCACUCUAUGAGACAUGUGGCCUCACAGCAAACAAUGAGCAUAAAAAUAAAAAUUGAACAGCUGCAUCAUUUGCUAAGUGCGUCCGUCUUGUACAUUGAGCAAGCCUGGGUUCCCGAAAAAAAAAUGAAGUGUCUGAUCGUAUUUGUUAUAUUUAUACACACCAUGCGAAUGCAUCGAUAUUGGAUUCUUUAUAAGGCUGGGAUAUGUUCUGGACUCCAGACAGAUACAAGAAUAAAAGACAUCUUAGAGAAUAUUGCAUUUUUGGCAACAUCUGUUGGCUCAAAGGAAUUGUAAAGGAAGUAAAUUAAAUACUACUAAGAAUGUAUAUAUUUAUAGUACUUUUCACACAAGCAUCCCAAAACGCCUCUCAAAAAAUUAAGCCUCAUAAGAUUGCUGUGAUUUAAGUAAUGAGCAUCACUUUUUUCUAAUGUGUGAAAUGAAUCAUAAAAAGAGUAGGUAGUUUACCCAGGCUAUCAUAAGCAAGAAUGCCUGAAUUUUAGGCUCCCAUUUUAAUACUUAGACAAACUGUCUUCUUUGAAAACAUCCAGAGAAGCUAUUGAUUUUCGUGCUUUCUUGCAGUUCUCCAAUAAUCCAGCAAGAUGCUCAGGCACAUGGUUAACUUAAGGCCAUUGAUUGCUGGCCUACGUUUCAGAAAAACAUUAUGGAGUGCAGUACAUGUAGUUUUAGAGAAAAAGUACGUUUAUAAGAGCACUGGUCAUUUUACCAACUGUGCCUAGAAUUUCCUGGACAUUAUGAAUGUUCAGCUUAAUCCCCAGUGUCAGAUCGUAUUAAAAUACUGUCCUCAAAAAGGAACAUUCCAAAUUUCCAUGAUCUUUGCCAGUUUCCAAUGAUCUGACAUUUAUUUGAGCUAUUGUGCAAAGUUUUCUGUUGAGUCAGAUCAUUCAGGACUAGCUGUUGGAACCACAGAGUGUCAGCAGAACAUAAUUCAUCUGCUGGUAAGCGGCAGCACAGUUUAUUGGAUAGGUAGUGCUCCUUCAUGCAGAGAUAUGCCACCAGGAAAUCCAUUCUUUAGUCAAAAUAGGAACCAAGCAUUCUGUUGCCCCUUUGAUCUGAUUCCUUUAGAAGGAGAAAUGACACUAGUGUCUCUGUUGUGGGGGGAGAAGAGGGAGGCAGAAGUAAUCUUAUUGAUUGUGAAGCAUUUCCAUGACACCAUUUUCCAGAUCACCAGUGUUUUUGUGUGUCUCUGUUGGCUUUUUGGCUGAUUUGACUUCAUCUUUCUGGUUCUUACAUAUACACAUACACCUGCUCGACCUCUACAUUUUUAGUAAAUUCUUAGGCGAAGUUCCUCAGGCUGCGCAACUGUGCUCAUACCAAGCUUUUACUUCACAACAGCAGAAAUACCCCAAAAGAUCAUGCCUUGCAUUUGUAGUAUGAAUAACAGUUGAAUAAAACUUCCCUGACUACACAGUGAGACCAGGACUUUGAACCCACAUAUGCUUGAUGUGAAUACAGUUUUCCCAUAAGGGCAAAGAAAGAAAAAUUUUUGUGAACUAUUCUCAAAAGUAAGUGUGCACGGAGCUCUAAUUAGCUUUUACUUCUGUAGAUAGGACAUCCUGGUUUCAAGACAGAAGUGAAGUUGACUUAAUUGCUUAGAUCUUAAGCUGUGCAAGGUAAAAACCAUCUGUGCUGUGUGCUUGUGUAGUCCUAGCAGCACUGGAAUCAGACUGAAGCUCCUCAGCAAGACCUCAAUGCAAAUAAUGAAUGCAGCUACAUAAGAGGACAUGGAGUGACUCAUUCUAAACCACAAGAUGUUUGGACUGCAAAUAAAGACAGAUAUGUGGGAUAUAAUCUGCUGUUGAGUUUUAACACAAUUCCUGUUAACUUUGAGCUACACACACAGAGAACAAUAGCAAGCUAUAGAUUUUGUUUCCAUCCCUGACAUUUCACUAAACGCUGCAAGCCUAAAAGUUUUUGAAGGUUAUAUGCAAUGUCCUGCGGAAUGAACGUCAAAUGUCGACUCUAACACUCUUGCAAGAUCUGAACAAGAAUAAGACAACUCUAUAGACUGAGGCAAGUUUAUUAUUACAAAUACCUUAUUAAAUCUAAAUGGUAAUGGCAUUCCAAUUAGCUCAUUGUUAGGAAUCUUUCAUGUUUGACUUUCAUUUAGACUGAUUACGGGAAUAAUACAGACCCUGUAUAAGUAAUUGGCACAAAAUAAAAGCAUCUGAGCUGCAAAAACCCUCCUAGAGGCUGCACUCUUUUAGAAAAAUAUAUAAAUAAAAGCUUCCUAUCUUUCCCAGCUCAUGAGCUCUCUCUGUUCACCAUAAUAAUGAGACAACCCAUUGAGUCUCCUGUGGGGCCAGUGGUAUCAGAGUUCCCUUUCUACCUACCUCUCUCUUCUCCGUAGCUGUAGGGGGCCUCCUUUUCUUUUACCCUCCACCCUCCUAGUCUUUCCUCCCAUCAUUGCAAGCCUCAGCACUGUUUUAUUGAUCCUUCUCAGCUGCGGAUUCUUUCACACCCAGAUCACAGGCUAGCCUCUGCCUCUCUCCCACACCCUCCUCCUCCUCCUCCGUGGCUGUUAAGCCAUGCUAGUCUCGCCGGCGAUCAAACAAGCAGCUGAGAACAUGCCUUUCGGUGUGCUGGCUCCCUAUUUCUUGCAGAUAAAAGGUGUUUUCUUUCACAUCAGAGCCUCCAUGAGUAUGACAGGGGCUAAUGGGUGACUCCUCACAGCAGGCUCCUGCUUGCUUCCUUCAGAGCGGGGCUUGGGGAAAGGUCUCUUUCAAUACAUCGCUACGGCCCAGGCCAGAGAUUUUCCUUUCCUCCUCUGGUGGAAGGAGGCCCACGGCACGGUGCGGUGUUGUGGAGUAUCUCUCAGCCGUGGGGAGGCCUGAAGCACAGCCCUUUGAGAGCUCGGCCAGGCAGACAAGACCUAUUCUCUACCCCAUGGAUAAGUUCUGGUCAGACAAGGGUGCACCGAGCCCAGCGUGCCCAGCUAACACCUGAGGAGGAAGGUUCAGGAAAAGACAUCCAAAGCCAUUGCCUAGAGCCUAGUUCGUUAGCUUAAGAGAAGGAGCAGCACACGAUAUUUGAUGAAAAGUGAGAAGGCCACAAGCCUUCAUCUCUGCCAGACUUCUCUUCCUCUUUCCCUGAUUAAUCUAGUGCCAGCUCUGCCCUAUUUCUGGGCACAGAAGCAAUAUGUAAAAUGUGCAAUGUAUGAACACUUUCCUGCUCUUUGGUUUGGGUAUGCGCUUCAGCCACACGCUACUUCGCAUUGGAGCAAGACACAAGCCUGUACCUUCUGCCUCUUCCCGCCCCACGCUGACUGAGAAGGAAACCCGACAGGUGGGCUCACGGGACCCGAGACAUAUUCCAACCGCUUCCCCGAGAAGGAGAUCAAGCUGGGAGCAGUGCUCUGGAACACAGCUUCCUGGCAGGGUAGACAGAGCAUGUGUUAACCGUAUGACAGCGAUCCAGGAAAGGUCUCUCUGGUGUGGGAAAGGGAAGGGCCAGCAGCUCCUAUUUAGGAACUUUUGGCUUCUGCAGGGCUCUGGCUCUGGCUCUGUAGGGUGAGCCAGAAGCUGUGUGAGCUGCAGCAACAGGACUUUGGGAAGAGCUGGGGAAGUAAGUAGCUGGCAACAGCAGGCAACUGUAGAAUAACAGGCAACUGAAAGCUGGGACCGAACAGCCUAAAAGCUGGGACACGUUCUGUUCUGCUGCUCUUAGAGGAGCAUAGUGGUACCUGCAGCAUGAAGGUGCUGGACUAGUCAAGCAGUGGACCAGGGGACCAGAAAGGCUGUGAAAUGCCCAUCCUUGGAGAUUUUCAAGACACAACUGAACAAAGCCCUGAGCAGCCUGGUUUGAAUUCAGUGUUGACCCUGCUUUGAGCAGGAGGUUAGACUAGAGACCUCCUGAGGUUCCCUUCAACCUGAAAGAUUCUGGGAUUUGAUGGCUUAACAUGGGCUGGGAAUGGUUAUUUUGCGCUCUCAGUUUGUGAGAGCAUCUUUUACUUCUGGAAGCUCUGUCUGAAGAAUCUCUUCCAUUACUGGAGCAGCACAGUGCCUAAGGAAACCUGCCUAUGCUGCAGAGUACUGUCUCCGUGAGGCCUGCAUUCCCCCUGCUCACCAGACAACCAGUUUGCAACCCUGUAGAUGAGCUUGGUGACCCUUUGCAUUUGGUCCUACAGUAUGUCUGUAGAGUCAAUGAUAAUCAGCUGACUGGUUGGAUACUUUCCUUCCUUUCUCUUGUCUGUUAAGGAAUCGUGACUCUCCUGACGGAAUCAGUGAAAAGAUUUCCAUGAAUUUCCAUAGAGGGCUCAGGAUUUUUAAGCCUCCCUGGGGAACGACAGUUAGUGGAAUUUCUGUGUUGGGUGGACCAUGAUCUGAUACAAAAAUCAGUAAUGUUUUAUUAAAUAACACUUGAUCCACCGUAACCUGAUAUCACACUCUUACGAGGAAUUAGAUGGGGUUUUUUUAAUGCAAAUAUUGAAGUAACUGGCUCAAAAAGCCAGUUCGUCAUCAUUUCACCUGUCCCAACAAGUAUACAGGCACAUGCUUAACUAAAGCACAGAGCUAAGUACGUGUUUAAUUGCUUUUCUGGACUAAAUAAGGGUCUUUCUUGAACAGAAAUUGAAAAUUGCUCCAUAGUUGAAGUGUAUAAACAGACCUGUACAAGAGAAGUCUGUAUUGUGUGAAUGAGAAAUAUUCCCAUGGAUGGCUAAGUUUUAAAUUAACUCCAAUUUUUAUGGGACUCUUUGAACCAGAAACCACUACAGAACUUUUAAUACUGAGCUGGCAAUAAUUUAGGCACUGCUGUAUUGUCAGGCAUAUUUAUCCUGCCUUUGUAUUUGUAACUGUUUUAUAUUUACUUGUCUCAUUAAAAUAACCAAGAAUUCA